AUCCGUCUGCAGUUCCUGCGUGUCAGGACAGGGCGUUCGUGCUUGUCUGAGACGUGCCACCUGGAACCUCGUUACAACAUCAGCACAUCACCCACCGACC